ensembl:snoRNA
AUCCUUUUGUAGUUCAUGAGCGUGAUGAUUGGGUGUUCACGCUAUUGCGUGAUUCGUGCAGACCUUGUUACGACACUGGCACAUUACCCAUCUGACG